AUUGAACGCUGGCGGCAUGCCUUACACAUGCAAGUCGAACGGCAGCACGGGGGCAACCCUGGUGGCGAGUGGCGAACGGGUGAGUAAUACAUCGGAACGUGCCCAGUAGUGGGGGAUAGCUCGGCGAAAGCCGGAUUAAUACCGCAUACGACCUACGGGUGAAAGCGGGGGAUCGCAAGACCUCGCGCUAUUGGAGCGGCCGAUGUCAGAUUAGGUUGUUGGUGGGGUAAAAGCCCACCAAGCCGACGAUCUGUAGCUGGUCUGAGAGGACGACCAGCCACACUGGGACUGAGACACGGCCCAGACUCCUACGGGAGGCAGUAGUGGGGAAUUUUGGACAAUGGGCGAAAGCCUGAUCCAGCCAUGCCGCGUGCGGGAAGAAGGCCUUCGGGUUGUAAACCGCUUUUGUCAGGGAAGAAAUCUCCUGAAUUAAUACCUCGGGAGGAUGACGGUACCUGAAGAAUAAGCACCGGCUAACUACGUGC
rnacentral:rRNA from 1 species